rnacentral:rRNA from 1 species
UACGGAGGGUGCGAGCGUUGUCCGGAAUCAUUGGGCGUAAAGGGCGCGUAGGUGGCCCGCUCAGCGUGCGGUGAAAGCUCGGGGCUCAACCCCGAGUCGGCCGUGCGAACUGGUGGGCUGGAGCACUGUAGAGGCAGGCGGAAUUCCGGGUGUAGCGGUGGAAUGCGUAGAGAUCCGGAAGAACACCGGUGGCGAAGGCGGCCUGCUGGGCAGUUGCUGACACUGAGGCGCGACAGCGUGGGGAGCAAACAGG